rnacentral:tRNA from 1 species
GCUCCCUUCGUCUAGCGGUUAGGACGUCGCCCUCUCACGGCGAAAACAGGGGUUCGAUUCCCCUAGGGAGCGCCA